AGUGAACGCUGGCGGUAGGCCUAACACAUGCGAGUCGAACGGCAGCACAGUAAGAGCUUGCUCUUACGGGUGGCGAGUGGCGGACGGGUGAGGAAUACAUCGGUAUCUACUUUUUCGUGGGGGAUAACGUAGGGAAACUUACGCUAAUACCGCAUACGACCUACGGGUGAAAGCAGGGGAUCUUCGGACCUUGCGCGAUUGAAUGAGCCGAUGUCGGAUUAGCUAGUUGGCGGGGUAAAGGCCCACCAAGGCGACGAUCCGUAGCUGGUCUGAGAGGAUGAUCAGCCACACUGGAACUGAGACACGGUCCAGACUCCUACGGGAGGCAGCAGUGGGGAAUAUUGGACAAUGGGCGCAAGCCUGAUCCAGCCAUACCGCGUGGGUGAAGAAGGCCUUCGGGUUGUAAAGCCCUUUUGUUGGGAAAGAAAAGCAGCAGGUUAAUACCCCGCUGUUCUGACGGUACCCAAAGAAUAAGCACCGGCUAACUUCGUG
rnacentral:rRNA from 1 species